rnacentral:rRNA from 1 species
GAGAUGUGGGUUAGUCCGCACGAGCGCACCUCACUUUUAGUUGCCAUCAUUAAGUUGGGCACUCUGAAAGAACUGCCAGUGAUAAGCUGGAGGAAGGCGGGGAUGACGUCAAGUCCUCAUGGCCCUUACGUGUUGGGCUACACACGUGCUACAAUGGCAUCUACAACAGGAAGCAAAACGGCAACGUUAAGCAAAUCCCGAAAAGAUGCCUCAGUUCGGAUUGCACUCUGCAACUCGAGUGCAUGAAGCUGGAAUUACUAGUAAUCGUGGAUCAGCGUGCCACGGUGAAUGCGUUCCCGGGUCUUGUACACACCGCCCGUCACACCAUGGGAGUUGGUUCUACCUUAAGGCAAGGUUUUAAACCCUUGACCACGGUAUAGUCAGCGACUGGGGUGAAGUCGUAACAAGGUAGCCGUAGGGGAACCUGCGGCUGGAUUACCUCCUUUCU